UUGUGAUGUCAUCUUCAGUCUGAUGAGAGCGGAUGAGACGUGAUAUCAGAGCAGAUGGACAAAUGAAAGAGUAGGAAUGAACCUGCCCUGUGGCUCUGUAAAUAAUGGGCACAGAUAGUGGAUGGUAUGCAGCAAUCAUGUGAUAACUGAGAAAUAUCUUCCUUUUAAACCGUGUGGCGCGGUAGACAUUACACACACUGACUCAUCUGCUGUCGAGGGAAGCUGGUGAUGUUUGCUCAUGCACUGCUUUCUGUUGGACAAGAACCUGCAGACAGACCUGAGACUGCAUUCAAUUUAAAUCUCCAGGGAAUUUAGGAAUGGUUGCGAUGCAUCCAGUGGAUGGCCCAUGUUACGCCUCUUGGUUUCACAAGCAUCUGAGCCGGAAUCUGAUACAGCAUCUCUAAUUGGCCAGUGUGUUCCUGCGAGGAGAGCCAAGGUCGAUCCAUCCUCUGACGAGACACAGGAAUGCGAGACAUGUGACCCAGACGCGACUCUGAAGAGCAUUUCUGCUUGAUGACAUCACCUCAGAAACGGGCUCCCACGGCCUAGGCUGCACGGCUGCUGCAGUCAGUCCAGCUCAUUAAUGCCUUGUCCUUGCUUCACCGCUGCAGUUUACCACUGACACUUGGCCUAGACUGUGAAAAAAGGAGUGUGAACCAUCACACUUUGAGUGGACACAUGGGAAUGAUCGGUUUCCUGUUUUUUCUGUUGAUAUCUUCACACUCCUGCCAUACAGACCAACAGACGCUGCUUGUGUGUUCAAACUCUCCAUUAGCAUAAGAUCUAGACCACUUUCACAUCUUAUUCUUGCCAAGACCCACCCACUUGCUGACUGACACGGAAAUGGACCAACCAGAGCUCAUUUUGUUUCUAUGUGUUGUUUCAGGGCGGCUGUUACGACCGUGUUUAGGGACCAACAUAAAGCCAUUCUAAAAGCAACAAAUACCACAGUGGCCAGGGCAAAAAGUUGAGGUUUAAUUAUAAAGGAAAAAAAGAAUAUGACCAAAAUAGAAAACAGCAAGAAAUAUAUUAUAAACAAUCAUGAAUAAGGGGUUUUAGGUCCGAUAAUUAACACCUCUGCUUUUUUUCAAAAUUUAGCAGUAAAAAAUUACUCGUCAUCCAUGCAUUCCAUUUGGUAUGUUUUGCAGGGCCGCAAAGAAAUAUAGAGUUGAGUGUCUUCAACAUAACAGUGAAAGCUAACACCGUGUUUCCUGAUGAUAUUUCC
ensembl:lncRNA